rnacentral:rRNA from 1 species
AGGACGUGCUAAUCUGCGAUAAGCGUCGGUAAGGUGAUAUGAACCGUUAUAACCGGCGAUUUCCGAAUGGGGAAACCCAGUGUGAUUCGACACACUAUCAUUAACUGAAUCCAUAGGUUAAUGAGGCGAACCGGGGGAACUGAAACAUCUAAGUACCCC